rnacentral:tmRNA from 1 species
UUUGGUUUCGACGGGGAUGUGGAAUCAAGAGUAGCGAGUCGUUGUAGCCAAGCAACGUAAAAAGUGGCACAAAAAAUUAAUUAACGAUAAUAAUUACGCAUUUGCAGCUUAGAUAAAGCUGUCCGUUCUACCUCAGUAGCCCACGGCUAAGGAUAGAACGUCAACUUAGUGGGGAACCGCACCUUGCAAAGCUUUGAGCUUGGGACGGAACUUAUGAAGCUACCAAGGCUUAUAUCCCGUCAGUAGGAGAUAAGUUAAGGGAAAGUUAAAUUACUGGCUGCGCUCGGAGAAACUCUUGUGGAAAUGUUUUCGGACGUGGGUUCGAUUCA